CUGCAAACAAAAUCCACAAUCCUUCACCGCUACCAUCCUCGGGAGUAAAGUGCACUGUAGAGACAAAUGUUACAAAAAAGUCAGUACACAAAAAUCUCUGAUCAGGCUGGGCGCUGAGACCGCUGAGUCUUCGAACUCCUAUCAUCAAAAGCAGCAGGAAAAAAAAAAGAAAUGCCUCGGAUGUCCCUGCCUCUUCUGUGUGCGCCAGAGACAUUUAGCAAAAUGUUGAAGAGAGUCUAUGGACCCCGCCCUUACAUUGACGUGUUCUCCCUACCA